CAAUCAACUUGAUGAUGUAUAUACCACAGUUGGGCCUGCACCAAAGUUGCUCCCACAGUAGUUCAAAAACCAGAAAGAACAAAUAUAUGGCCAUGAAGAUAAUAACUUAAAAGAAUAGUCAAUCUUUCACUUGCAAUUCUAUUCAGACAGACACUGGAGCAGCCUGCAGUACUUGUAAAAGAUCAUAAUAGAUGAGAAAAGGAGAGACAGAACGAAAAAUCAACAAACAAAGGAAAACAGUACAAUGCUUUACAAUGAUCUAGAUUCCAAAAACCCUAGAAAACUAGGGUAUAUAACUGUCUAAAUAAUAAGAGAAGAAUACAAUGAAGAAAGGAACAGAUGCAUGGCAUAAAUCACACAGACACAUACAUGACACAACAUAUGAAUCGUCGUGGUGAAAGGUCAAGGUGAUUGAGCACAACUUGAACUCCCAAGUCCCAACCAAGUGGUUAUUUUCCAAACAAAUUUCUAGUUAUUUGGUGAAGCAAGCAAACUCCUUGGAAAGCACAUGUACAGGCCCGUUGCAGUACCAUGGAACAGAAAUUUGCGAUAACCCCACCAUUUAGAAACCUACGCAUUUAUAUUCCGGGUGUUAGAAGAAGGUGAACAGAAUUAAUCUAAAGAACUGAAAAAGGUAGUCAAUCCCACACUCCUCUUAAUUGUGAUCUAGAAUACAUUAGAGGGGAACUUUGUCCAUCUACAUGUCUCCUGGCCAUGGCAUUCCCACUACUUGCAUUUAUGGCAUGUAGAGAUUAGAAGCUCAUUAGCUAGUUCGUCAAAAUAGAAUAAUUUUAGGUACACUUCGUAAAUUACAGAAUGAAUUACUCCAUACUCACAUGAGUUGUGGGCACAUACACAAGUGAUAAUGCAGAGCCCACAACUCAUGAGUAUGAAGUAAUUUAUUUGACAAUUAUGAAGUGUAUGUAGAAUUACUCUUCAAAAUAUUGACCUAUUUUAUCACUUGAACAAAAGCACUCUGACAAAGUACUUGACACCUGGAUCAGAAACUCUCUUUUAUAUGAACUACUCCUUCAGAUUCACUGGAUAUACCAUACAGAACAAUGAACAUACAGAAGGAAUCAAUGUCAGAUACUGUAGAGGGCAUGCGUUGAUGACCUAUAAUUUCGUUUCGCGUUCAACUAUCAAACCGCUGUCUUGACAGUGGUGGAGCCAGAAUUUUUUUUUUCCGUGAGUGGGGUCAUUGACUAAUAAUAAAUAAAUUUUCAGUUAAUGAAUUUAAAGAAACAACUUAUCUUCUGGUACAAAGAGAUAACUUCCUUGCAAUACAUUCCUAUAUUUUUCAUUUAUGUAUUUAUGAAAUCUGUUUCAGGAAAAAGAGUAAGAAUAAAUAAUUUUUACUUGACUUCUAACACUUAUUGGUCAGAAUUGUCCCCCAUAAGCCAAUUUUUCAAUGUUUUUCAAACCCAUACUAAUUCACUGCUCAGCCUUCUUUACCACAAAGAAUAGUCAGCACAACACUCCAAUGCCCACUGCAUAGCAUGGCAACCUAAAACACUCAACCACUCCAUUCAUUUUCAUAUUUCUAUAAAUAAUCAACAUCAUAUCCCAAUAACAAGCUCUAAUUUGCAUCUUAUGCAUAAAUAACUCACUCAACAUUUCCAAUACGUUUUAAUUUUGAAUCUCUUAGGCUCUAUUUGGAUACAUGUGAAUUUGAAUCAAUGGAUUUAGUGUUUAGUAUUGACAUAAAUGUAGAGAUUUAGCUUAGGGUAACUUGUGACAUUUAGGCAGAACGAGAAUUUAAGAUAUGUAUUUCUUGUAGAGCUGCAAAUCCUUGGCAUGAAAGAUUUCAAAUAACUCUUAGGCUCCUUUUGAAUAUGUGGGAUUUCAAAUUCUUGUCUCAAAUCUGUCGAGUAUGUUUAGAUGGUGAAUAGACCAAGGAUUUGAAAUGAAGGGAAAUCACUCUUGAAUUUCAAGAGCAAAAUGAAAGUAUUUUAAAUAACUCUAAAAUAAGUGUUAUUUGACAAAUCCAUCCACGUCUCCACUCAUCUCAACUUUGCCUUCAACAUUUCUCUCUCAAAAGUAGGUGUUAAUUAAUUAAAAUCUGUAAGGGGCAAAAUAUACAAUGCCUUGCUAGGGCAGGGGCCUUCACCGAGCUAUCUCUAUGAAAUAAGCUCGAUGGUCCUCUGCGCCGAAACUCUAUGCAGAUAUUAUUGAACACAUGCACUGUCCAAGCUAAGACCAUCAUUACUUCCGAGUUGUCGCUAUUUAACAAGUUCAAAAGAAGGUGACUUGCAUGUCAAAGUUUCUGCUGACAGCCCCAUGCCUGGAUGGAGUCGGCAACAUGUUGACAAGCUACCAGCCAACCAUAAGAGCAUGGUUGGUUCAGUUGCCUACUCACUGAUACAGUGGUCGGCGCGUAUGAACAUGCGCCGAGCUAUAAUUUGUCUAGUGAUAAGACAGCUAGCACGUCAAAGCACACUCCGAGCUGUACCAUAUAAAUUCUGCCUUUAUCUUUCUAAAAAGUAUGCGAACUUUGGUC
rnacentral:lncRNA from 1 species